CACGUAGGGCGCAAGCGUUGUCCGGAAUUAUUGGGCGUAAAGAGCUCGUAGGCGGUCUGUUGCGUCCGCUGUGAAAUCUCGGGGCUUAACCCCGAGCCUGCAGUGGAUACGGGCAGACUAGAGGUAGGUAGGGGAGAAUGGAAUUCCCGGUGUAGCGGUGAAAUGCGUAGAUAUCGGUAGGAACACCAGUGGCGAAGGCGGUCUCCUGGAGCAGACUUGACGCUGAGGCGCGAAAGCUGGGGGAGCGAACGGG
rnacentral:rRNA from 1 species